UGUGAAAACAUUCACCAAUUUCUACUGUUAAAAACUAGCAUAGCUGAUAGAAUAAUCAAAUAGUUACAUAUGUGUCCCACAUGUACCUCAUUUUGACGUAUAGGGCUGGUUUUUAACAGUAAAAAUAAAUGAAUUUUUUAAUA
rfam:Gossypium hirsutum cultivar TM-1 unplaced genomic scaffold scaffold190.1, whole genome shotgun sequence